AAGUCGUAACAAGGUCUCCGUAGGUGAACCUGCGGAGGGAUCAUUCACAUGAUUACUUUAUUAAACAAACCGUGAACUUUAUAUACUAUUCGUGUUUUUUGUGUUGGUUUUAUUACUUUCACAUUAAACAUUGUCAUUCGUUGAACAUAAGAUAGUUGGCUUGAAUUUUAUUAUUCUUUCUCAGCUUUGAUUUGACUGAAAAUUAAACACUUUCUCUCAAUCAACCAUAAACAUAGAAACAACUCUAUGCCCUGGAUAUCUUGGUUCUC
rnacentral:misc_RNA from 1 species